rnacentral:rRNA from 1 species
CAGUAGCCACGGUAAUACGAAGGUCCCGAGCGUUGUUCGGAAUCACUGGGCGUAAAGGGAGCGUAGGCGGCGUGGUAAGUCAGAUGUGAAAUCCCGGGGCUCAACCCCGGAACUGCAUCCGAUACUGCCAUGCUAGAGGAUUGGAGAGGUAGCUGGAAUUCUUGGUGUAGCAGUGAAAUGCGUGGAGAUCAAGAGGAACACUCGUGGCGAAAGCGAGCUACUGGACAAUAACUGACGCUGAGGCUCGAAGGCCAGGGUAGCGAAAGGGAUUAGAUACCCGCGUAGUCCCUGUCUCUUAUAA